rnacentral:sRNA from 1 species
UACCCAGGACUAAAGAGACGCCAGUCCAGAGUAGAGUCCGUAGGCAGCCAAGCUGGGCCCAGCGUGGGGGCAAAUAUGAGGCAACAAUGAACGGGGUAGGUGAGGCUGGCAUGGGUGACUCAGGCCAGUGGGCAGCAGCCCUGGGAUCUCCAGGCCUCAGGCGGGGGCAGCAUGCUGAGAAGGGCGCCAGCCUCCCUCAUGCUGGAGGGCAGGCCCCUCAUUCUGACCUGCCAGCUCCCUUUGUUUGGAGGACACUGUUGGGGGUGAGUGGGCGCUGUGCCCUCCUGGGGUCCUGGGGGCUGUGCACAUUUGACAAGGUUCCGGAAUGAGGACUACACCAUACAUGUGCAGCUGAAUGACUACGUGGACAUCAUCUGUCCGCACUAUGAGGAUCACUCUGUGGCAGAUGCUGCCAUGGAGCAGUACAUACUGUACCUGGUGGAGCAUGAGGAGUACCAGCUGUGCCAGCCCCAGUCCAAGGACCAAGUCCGCUGGCAGUGCAACCGGCCCAGUGCCAAGCAUGGCCCGGAGAAGCUGUCUGAGAAGUUCCAGCGCUUCACACCUUUCACCCUGGGCAAGGAGUUCAAAGAAGGACACAGCUACUACUACAUCUCCAAACCCAUCCACCAGCAUGAAGACCGCUGCUUGAGGUUGAAGGUGACUGUCAGUGGCAAAAUCACUCACAGUCCUCAGGCCCAUGACAAUCCACAGGAGAAGAGACUUGCAGCAGAUGACCCAGAGGUGCGGGUUCUACAUAGCAUCGGUCACAGUGCUGCCCCACGCCUCUUCCCACUUGCCUGGACUGUGCUGCUCCUUCCACUUCUGCUGCUGCAAACCCCGUGAAGGUGUAUGCCACACCUGGCCUUAAAGAGGGACAGGCUGAAGAGAGGGACAGGCACUCCAAACCUGUCUUGGGGCCACUUUCAGAGCCCCCAGCCCUGGGAACCACUCCCACCACAGGCAUAAGCUAUCACCUAGCAGCCUCAAAACGGGUCAGUAUUAAGGGUUUCAACCGGAAGGAGGCCAACCAGCCCGGCAGUGCCAUCCCCACCUUCACCUCGGAGGGAUGGAGAAAGAAGUGGA